GCGGUUGAUUUGAUUCAGCUGAUAGGGUGGACGCCGCUGAUCGAGCUGAGGCAGAUCGCCGGGAAGGAGGGGGUGGGUGCCCGCAUCGUCGGCAAGAUCGAGGCCUACUAGCCCCUCUGCUCCGUCAAGGACCGCAGCGCUCUUACGAUGAUCGAGGAUGCUGAAGAGAAAGGGCUGAUUUCACCAGGUGUCACGACUCUAGUCGAGCCGACCAGUGGUAAUUUGGGCCUGGGAUUGGUUCUGAUUGCCCUAAGCAAAGGAUAUAGGUUCGUCGCGGUGAUGCCGGGCCAAUACUCGCUUGAUAAGCAGAUCUUGUUGAGAUACAUGGGUGCUGAGUUGUUCAUAACUGAUCCAACACUUGGGUUCCCAGGAAUAACCGACAAGGUCGAACAGCUCAAGAAAGAAUUACCAAACGUACACGUUCUUAAUCAGUUCUCGAAUCCAGCAAAUCCUGAUGCACACAUCAGAUGGACUGGUACUAGUUUUCCCAUUGUGAAGGAAGGACACGGCGGAAUGUAA
rnacentral:rRNA from 1 species